rnacentral:snoRNA from 1 species
ACCCCCUGGCAAUGGGCAAGGAGACACCUGAUUGCUGGUGUGGCUCUGAUAUCAGCCAGGGGCAGAGCAGAUGUACAGUCCUUAGUUCAUCCUAGCUUGAUGCCUAUGUUGGCCAGAGCUGUUUCAUGCCUCAGACACAUAA